GCAGCUGGUCUACAGGAGGAGAACCAUAAAGCAGCUGGUCUACAGGAGGAGAACCUUAAAGCAGCUGGUCUACAGGGGAACCUUAAAGCAGCUGGUCUACUGGAGAACCUUAAAGCAGCUGGUCUAUGUUGGGGAAAAAUGUGUUUUAGAAGUUCUCUCUUGGAAUGUGUUAAACAGCUGUCCCUCCCCAAAUGUCUAUGGAGGAUAAUCUAAUCCUGUGUGGGGUCAUGUGGAAAGGUCACAACCCAGGCUCUCAUGGGAAAAGGUCACAACCAAGGGGUCUUGAACUGAGCUUGAACCUAGCAGAAUAAACAAGCCUUCGGGGUGUCUCAACUUCCUCUAAUAGGUAACAGAUGGACUUUGGAAUGUGGAUUCUCUCUGAGAUCUAUAAAGGUUGCAGUCUUGCACUGAGACAGCAGCAGUUAUCUCUGACGGCUUCGAGAGAAGGCUCGGGGAUCCUGCUCCAUUCAGCUGAAUGUUUUCAUGACUUGUUUGUUAUUUAGCGUUUGGUUGAUGACUUGUAAACUUGUUACUAUAAUAAAGUGUUAUGGGUCAACCAUGCUUAAACUACUUUUGAUCUCUCACAAGGUAAAGGAACACUUAUUUCCACCACAAAUUGGCGACGAGGAUGCGAUGGACGCGCUUGACGGGGAUUCCGGCUGAACGGCAGAUGGCCAUAAUAUAGAUGAAUCCUCCCCCGAGGGUGAGAAGCUGCCGUUCAGACGGAGACCGGACGGCCGAUCCAAUCUAGUUGAAAAACUAUGGACAACACGCGGUGAGAGAUCCAAUUUAUUUUAAAACAAAAAGUCAUGAAACAGGGAAAAUAGAAAAAUCUCACAAUCAAGUGUUGUUAACAGACGUGUUUUGAAAACUGUUGGGUUCUCUAGUGGUUCGUAUGCACCAGUUUUGGCGCACACUUCUCAGGGAAAACAGUUAGCAGUUUUUAGAGAUAGCAGCGGUCACUCAUGACUUGCCUUGGUCAUUCAUGUGUAUUGUUUAGAGUGAACGCGUCUGGUGAUGCCUGAAAAAUUUAUUGACGCACACGUCGACGUAAUACACACAUGACUAUAUGGGUAGUGCUCAGAGAAGAGGAGACUAGUUGGAACCAUGUCGUCCCGAUCCUUCCGACCCUGUGUGAAAUUAUGUCAGAACAUUAUCCGGGCAGUUAGAUCAAAUGCAAAAAAGGGAGAUGGAGAUGAGCGCGACGGCUCAGCAUGCAGUCUUAUCAAAGAAAAAGCAGAAGAAUGUGAUAUUUAAGGCAGACUGGGAAGCCUUUGGAAUGUGGGAAUUUGAGUUAAAAAAUAAAAAUAAAAAAAUAAAAAAGGGAGAGACAGAGAUUGAAAGCAUUUAAUUAGCUAAAUUCAAAAAAACCUACGAAGAAUGUUAACAAGUGUCAUUGCAUUCACCCAAAUACUGUGUAUUCUUGUCUUUCUGAGAUACUGAGAGAAUCGGUGGCUCCAGACCUGGAUUCCGCCCCCCCCUUUUGCUCCGCCAGCCUGCUUGCAGCAGCCUUCUCAGUCAAAUGCAGCUUCAUCGGACACAGUCCAAGAGGGACACAGACUCUGGAACAAUGCAAAGACCAUCUGAAAGAGCGUUUCGUGAGCGGGACGAGACCAAACUCCUGCAGAUGGUGAGAAAAUCAUAUGUUCCACUAACAGAUGUCCUAAAGCACGCUGAACAUGCUAAGGCGGAGUUGCACAGAAAAGAGAUGCUUGCAAUGAUCAACACGCUUGCAAGGCAAAUACGGAAUAUUCCUCCAUGGCAACUUGGGAGGACAAGAGGUCGAGGCAGAGGCAGAAUGGAUCUGACCUUGGAAAGAUAUGAUUCAAGUGUGUGCUACAACUGCGGAGGGCAUGGACACUGGCGAACAGAGUGUCCGGAGCCCAAAAAGGAAGACCCGCUUUCGACACGGCUGAGCGGAGGGAGGCGGGGGAGGGGCGGAUCCCAGAGACGGACAACCCUCUCCAGGACAAACAAGAAUGUUCCUUGGAGCUGCCCUGCAUCUAUCACUGACAGACUAUCGCACUGGGAAGGGCGAGGAUCUGGGUCCAUGUUUUGCAAUGCGUCUCGGCCUUUCAAAAGAAACAACGACCGGGUGCUGAGAAACCUAGGGACUAGCGCUAUUGGUAAUGUAUUUAAACUACAUUGACCAUCACAGUAAGUGUACACAAAUAAAAAAAAAUAAAAAAAAAAGAAAGAAAAGAAAAGAACAAAAGUACCACAUGGGGACCAACAUGUCUAAAGGGUUCAUGAAAGACCAGGCAGGUCCCAUAGAGUGCUGAGUGAAAACUUUGGAAUUCUAUAGACGAUGUAUUAGUUUAUAUAAUAUUAUAUGUAUGUAUUGUAUUAUAUGAUGAAUUACAGCCAUCAAAGGAGGCUUGUAAAAUUAACAAUAUCUAAACGUUUGGCAGAUAAUGGACAUAAAACUAGUCUACAAAAAGAAAAAGGAAACAUCAAUGUGCACUAAAACAAGUAAUUUAUCUGGGACAUGUGAUCACAAGAGACGGCAAUUUCCUCUCUCCCAAAUAGUAUUGUGGUAGUUCAAUCACUACCAAAACUAAUUAAGAAGAAACAAAUUAUGUUUUUUUAAAUUAUUUUUUUAGGAACGACGUCAUACUACAGACAGUGGAUCCCAAAUGACUUAGAAAGAGAGGCACACCUCUCGUCCAUGGUAAAGGCCUCAGUGAACAUGACUUACUGACUUAGACUAUAAAAGCAAAAGACAGAAGAGAACUUAAAGACUUCCUUACUACAGGCCCGACCGGGGCCUGCCGAGACCAAACUUGAUAUGUAUUUUAUACAUAGACCGAAAUGACUGUUACAUGAACUCCAGUUGUGUCAGCCUCAUGGAGGAAAACUUAGGCCUGUGUCCGACUUCUCCUCGACAUGACUUUGUUGUCACAGGUCUUCCUCUCUGUUGCAGCAGCUGGAGAAGCCAUGGAUUAACAUCACGGGACAUUGUGGGCUAUUUUGAUGUCACACUUAUAGUCCCGCAUGCAGUUUCCCACAUCUUCCAUGCCAGAAGACUUCUCACCUCUCUGCUCAGAGAUGGUUCAGAUAUCAUGUUAGAAUAGCGUGACAUUACGGUAAAACGCUGCGAUGAACUUAACUCAACUACACUUCUUCCGACUGCAGAUGAUGGAGAGCCUCAUGAUAGUGUCCAGGUAUUGCAACAGACAUGCAUCCCGAGACCUGAUCUGUUGGACACACCUCCUUCCAAUGCAGAUUCAAGCUAUCUGUAGCUAUCCAGCUCACCCAUAACGGGGCAGCGGUCAGGUUGUAUGUUACAUCACAUCACACACUUGUUGGUGUCAGGCUUACUGCACACCGAUCAGUACAAGCAGCAGAGCUGAUUGCUCUCACAGAGGAAUGUAAGGUAGCUAAAAAGGUCAAACUAACAAUUACACAGGUUCACUUCAGGUAUCUGGAGCUUACAUGACCUUGGGCCUCUGUGGAAGACACAGAGGAUUUCUAACAGUGGCAAACCUAUCACACCACACGGUGGGUUUCAGCUGUUUUCAGUCGUUAAAUGUGAAGCUCACAUCUCUUCUUUUGACCUGUGUCAAUAGUAAACAUAGUGGCAGAUCUGGUGGCAAAGGCGGCAGCCUUAUCGGGCACCCCUUUUCCCCACAUAGACUGAUUCCAGUCCUUAGGCGGAUUUUUCCACAAUUCAUUCUUUUGCCAAUGCCCAGGAGCGCUCCCUAUGGAACGCUCUGGUGCCACUCUUUGAGUCGAGGGUUUGACAGCCCAGACGGCAAGCCUUGUUUGCCACGCGCUCUCUUCCAUACUUCUAGAUUUUCUCAUGGAGGAGACCACGUGGGCAAAGGGGGAAUGGGUAAUGCUCUAAAUGCAAGUUCAUACACCAGAGCAUUUUCAACAUUUGCAAUAAAUAACAACAGCAGAGUCACCGCCCUGCAGAUACACUUUUUGAACAGUUAGUAAUGUAUUUUAAAUCUCAACGUUUUUAGGUUUUAACAUCAGGCAUCAUUGUUCUUAUCAUCCUCAAUCAGAACGAGAAAGUGGUACUAUUAAAUCUAAACUAGCGAAAUGUUGUGAAGAGACAGGCCUAUCUUCGGUGAAGGCACUUUCCGCGAGUGCUUUUUCACAUGCGCAUGCGAAUACAGCAUGCUAAGAUAUUGUGCCAACCUAUCAUCCUCGCUCUCAGCACUUCACACACAGGUGAAAUCUGCACUUCCCUCACCAGCCACUGCGGUCCAGCAUCACCUGAAACCAGGAGACUGGGUGCUCAUCAAGGAUCACAGGAGGAAGCACAGGAAGCAGACACACUACACGGGUCCCUUUCAAGUACCCCGACAACGGAGACGGUGGUGAGAGUGGAAGGAGGACAACGUAGGUCUACGCCAGCCACUGCAAACACAUCCCAGAUCCAGAAGGAGAAGGAGCAGCUGCUACAGGUCCGGACUAGAGGGGAAGGGUGAGAAAAGCGAGCGCCUUCCUCCAUCAAGUAGCAUGCCAAGCUACCAACAAGCGCACCCUUAGCAGUGAAGUAACCGAACACCUCACUUAUUUUGUGUGGCUGGGGAGAAACCCGAGUUUCUCAAACUGCAAAGCUGUCAUACAGAAAUCAGUGUGGUAGGAGGUGAACUCAUGUGAAAAGGUGACGCCACCCAAGAAACAGUGAUGGAAGAAAGAUCUCCAGCAUCAGGACACUCCUUUGAGGAGCACGGGUGCAGCCAGAGCAAAAGCAUGCACUCACUGCUCUCUCUGAACCACGACAGCAAGGAUACUGUUCCUGAACUUUGAAAUUCAAUUACAAGACAUAAACGGCAAAGAUACCAGCCCGUUUCAUCUCACGAAGAAGUGGCAGGAAUUGCCCAACAGGACGAUGUGUUCCCUCUCCUCAGAAGAUUUGAUUGAUAUGUUAAUAUAGACGAACAACUUCAUCAAAUAAUAUGUGAGUGGUGUUAAGUGGUCGACCAGCAGGUCAGUAAAGCACAGCCAAAACCAGCACCUAUUGGAAACAUGUACUUUUAAGCCCAACACAGGUUCUAUUCGAUUAGAAAAUAGGUAUACAGAGCAUACCUUGAGUAAAUAAAUUCAAAUUCAAGCAUUCAUCUUGGACUAAAAGCAUAAUUGUACUAAAUCCUUAACUAAGACCAGACCUAGAGGUGAAGAUUCACCAAACCCAAACCAUCCAUUCUGAUCUAUUCUUUGACUAAUGUCAGCUGUUGUGUUAAUUUCUACGUGUUAGGAUAACUAAAUUGAGAAUAGUGUGUAACUAAACAAGAUCAGUACAUAGUGGGUAUUAGUAGACAAAAACCAUACUUUGCACUCAGAGGUUAAUGAUGUAAUGUCUUGAAAUCUUUGGGAAUCUACCUCACUGAUGUAUGUCCUACAAAUGGUUAUAUACUAACUUUUGACUAUCAUUUUUCAGUUGUUAAAAUUGUCAAAAAUGACAAAAAGAGUGAGAUGUUGGGGAAAAAUGUGUUUUAGAAGUUCUCUCUUGGAAUGUGUUAAACAGCUGUCCCUCCCCAAAUGUCUAUGGAGGAUAAUCUAAUCCUGUGUGGGGUCAUGUGGAAAGGUCACAACCCAGGCUCUCAUGGGAAAAGGUCACAACCAAGGGGUCUUGAACUGAGCUUGAACCUAGCAGAAUAAACAAGCCUUCGGGGUGUCUCAACUUCCUCUAAUAGGUAACAGAUGGACUUUGGAAUGUGGAUUCUCUCUGAGAUCUAUAAAGGUUGCAGUCUUGCACUGAGACAGCAGCAGUUAUCUCUGACGGCUUCGAGAGAAGGCUCGGGGAUCCUGCUCCAUUCAGCUGAAUGUUUUCAUGACUUGUUUGUUAUUUAGCGUUUGGUUGAUGACUUGUAAACUUGUUACUAUAAUAAAGUGUUAUGGGUCAACCAUG